rnacentral:lncRNA from 1 species
GUCUGAUCCUGAUCAGAUAGUCUAGACAUGACUCAUGAGGCUAGACUAUCACUAUCAUGUCUAGGUUUCAGACUCACAUUUUAAAAUGCAUAUGCUGCAAACAUGGACAGGAGUUGGAUUGCAGUAGACAAGAAGACAAAAUGAGUUGCUGCCAUCCUUUCAUGACCCUUCCAAAUCUAGCAACGGAAAUUUCAAAAGCAAAACUUUCAGUUUCAGUUGGUUCUGGUAAGUUUGUUAUUUUUUUUUGUGGUUAGAAAAAGCAAUUUGACACCAUAAAAAGACCUACUGUAGAAACAUCACAUCUGAUUCAAAACAUAAAUAUCGGAAGAAGAGCAUAGACCAUUUCUCUUUGGGGAAAAAAAAGGGGGGGGGGUAUUUACAUAAUUUUCUUGAAGCAAACACUGAUUUAAUUUUCAUUGACAUACAUUUAUAAUGAUUUAAAAUUCUUCUGAAACUAAAAGAUUUAUGUGUUUGCCUUCUAAAUUUUAAUAGAAAAACUUUUUUCUCUCUCAGUCUCUCAAGAAUCAUGAUAAAAUAUAUAUUCUAUUACAAAGCCCUCCGGUAUCAGGUCUGUUCGCCCUGAGUUUGUUUGACCAAAUUGUCAAUAUAGAGUCCAUUGACUCUGUUUUUUUUCUCCUAAUUUAAAAAUAAUGGUUGCUUCAAAUCCCUUUUUUUUUUUAAAUACAACCCAUUGAAAUAGAAAACAUUCAGUAGAUAGAUAUAGGAAGAUGUGGUAUGAGUGCGAAUGAGACAACUAUCCAUCCAAAUAACAAUUUAUUAAAGUAAACCAUUAUAGGUCAAUGUACGGCCUUCAACACAGAGCCUUGGCUCACACGGAACAACAAGCUAUAAACAUGAUAAAGGACCCCUAAAUUACUAGUGUAAAACCUUCGAACAGGAAAAUCAAUGGUCUAAUCUAUAUAUAAAAAAAGGAGAAACGAGAAACACGUAUAAAUUACAUAAACAUACGAAAACUACUGUACAUUUAUGCCAACUAAAAAGUAUGUGUGUUAACCGCACUACCCUUACCUACCUUUAUUUUUAUCCCUACCCUAAAGAUUUUUGUGACAGGUUUUGAUUAAGCACUGUUAAAGUCACAAUAUAGCUCCCAAAGAGUUGUGAAUUUCCUGUCUUUAUUCAUUCCUUUACCAGUACUACAUGUACAUUGUACAAUGCAGCUAGAUUGAUACAAUAUAUGGUUCUCAAACUCAAAAAAAAUGUUUUACAGACUAUGAGCUGGUUUUUUUUUUCUCUCUAAAAAUUGGUUACUGUGAGACUUUUUCUUUACAUUUCCUUAGUGCAGGUCAUGUAUCACAGUUAUAAACAUGGAAAGAGAACUUGUACAUGUCUUUACUUCUAUCGUUAAUAAAAUAGAAUCUGAAUAGAAUAUGCUUACAAAUGUAUUCCAAAUUAAAGGGCCCAGAAGGGGCAACAUGAGAUUAUAACAUUACAGAUUACUCAGAUAAAACAAAUUCAAAAUAACAAUACUGAAGAAAUGAAUUACUUGAUGAUGUGAUUGAUAUCAUAGCAUUUAUGACAUUUACACAAAUUAAUUAUCAUAUCUACAAAACUUUUUUUUUCAAUGAACCAAUGCAUUAUGUUAAGCCAACUUAAUGUACAAUGUACAUGUAGAUGUAACUCACUGUACUGAUCAUGCAAAUGUACAAAUAUACAAUAUUUUAUUUCUUAUCAACAGGUUAAUGUUGAAGAUGGAAAAGCAC